UUUCGAUGAAAAUGGUGAUGAUUUCGACGAUUAUGGUGAUGAAAAUGUCUGUUUAUGCGACGGAAAUUUUGAAGCCUUUGGUACAUUACAGUCUGAUACAUACACUUUCAAUACCAUAAUCGUUGAAAUCAUCACCAUUUUAU
rnacentral:pre_miRNA from 1 species